GAAUUAAUCUGAACGAAGUUGUGUUGAGCGGCUGCCAUAUCGUGAACAUAAACAGCUGAUAUUUAGUCUACUACCUAAAAAAGUUUGUUAGCCAGAAUUUAGCAAAGAUGAUGUUACCAGCAUGGACCCGGUUUACCGUAUUAUUUUGGACUGGAAUCAUCAUCUAUGCAAAAGACAAUGAAGACUCAAACAAAUUUUGGAAUAUAAAUGUACCUAAUCCUAUAAUGGGACCUAGUAAAAAACCAAGGGAACUAGUUGAAAAAGGUC